AUUAGAAGGUUGAGGUUGUCUGUUCUUGGGUGUUCCUGUGAGGCCAAGGGACUUGUCUAUGUUAUGAGAAUCAGAGGCAGAAACUGUUUCAUAUCCCUGUGUAUUAAAUGUUCUCCCUACCAGGUGUAAAGCAGGAAACAGAAGGAUGUGCCCCAAGAACAAAGGGUUCUUUGAAACAAAAGCUGAGAAAACCACUGUGGAAGAUGCUGCCCAACAUGGAAAUGGUUUUGCAGGAGGAACAGCAGCAUGAGCACCUGACAAUUGCUCCUAAGAGACCUCUCAGCAACACUGCAGAACUGAUAUUUGAGUUUAUUACCAAAAAAAGCUCUUCCUGGGAAGGAAUGUGAUAGAGAACUGUUUCCUCAGGUAGCCUGGGUUUAGGAGCUGUCUCUGGAAUCGAGGCCCAAAGUCUUGGCUGCCUACUGUGGAGUCUGGACUCACGUGGCCAGUGCUGUGUGUCCUCUUACCCCAAAAGCUCAGGUCAGCUUCCAGUACAUUUAAGAGAAGGUCAAGGACUGCAAAAAGGAACAACUUCUGGAUGAUUUUGUGGCACUUAAUAGCUGCAGGUGAAAGGAAAAGCCAAAAUAAUGUCCACUCCAAGGGGCGGCUAAGAGUAAAUAUCAUUAGAGAGUAGAGAAUCAAGCUGGGGCAGAGUAACAGGAGACAAGCAGGGAUGAUGUAGCUGAUCCAGGGGGAUUUAUGUAGUGUGCAAACACCCCUUGGUUGAUAACCUAAAAAGAAUGGCACUAAAAGGUCUGUGUUUAUUCUGCAGAGCCCACCUGGGAAUUACUGAGGACUUCAUGGGCACCACACAGAGUUCCUGGGAGCAGAGCAGAGCAAGGGACGGGUGGUGCUCAGAGCUGCCCUGGAACUGGCUGUGGCCAGCACAGAAGUCGUGUGGGAAGUGCCAUGUUUCUCCUGAGACAUGUGUUCCUGAGUUGUGACCACAGCGUUCAAAGGCAGCCAGAAUCCGGCAGGGAGCUGUGCCUGAGGAUCCUGCUGACCAGGAACGUUUAGAGAGGAAGGUGGUUUGCAGAGGAGAGCCAAAAGCUAUUAAUUUUCUCCUGUGCUUCCAGCAGCCCGUUUGGGUUGGUUUGAUGCCUA